CCUACGGGAGGCAGCAGUAAGGAAUAUUGGUCAAUGGACGCAAGUCUGAACCAGCCAUGCCGCGUGAAGGAUGACGGCCCUCUGGGUUGUAAACUUCUUUUACAGGGGACGAAAAAAGGGCAUUCUUGCUCACUUGACGGUACCCUGGGAAUAAGCACCGGCUAACUCCGUGCCAGCAGCCGCGGUAAUACGGAGGGUGCAAGCGUUAUCCGGAUUUACUGGGUUUAAAGGGUGCGUAGGUGGGUUGGUAAGUCAGUGGUGAAAUCUCCGAGCUUAACUCGGAAACUGCCAUUGAUACUAUCAAUCUUGAAUACUUUGGAGGUAAGCGGAAUAUGUCAUGUAGCGGUGAAAUGCUUAGAUAUGACAUAGAACACCAAUUGCGAAGGCAGCUUACUACACAGUCAUUGACACUGAGGCACGAAAGCGUGGGGAUCAAACAGGAUUAGAUACCCUGGUAGUCCACGCCCUAAACGAUGGAUACUCGACAUCAGCGAUACACUGUUGGUGUCUGAGCGAAAGCAUUAAGUAUCCCACCUGGGAAGUACGAUCGCAAGAUUGAAACUCAAAGGAAUUGACGG
rnacentral:rRNA from 1 species